GUCUAAGUAGCUCAGGGGUAGAGCGAAAGACUGAAAAUCUUUAAGUCAGGAGUUCAAAUCUCCUCUUAGACA
rnacentral:tRNA from 1 species